AACUGAAGAGUUUGAUCAUGGCUCAGAUUGAACGCUGGCGGCAGGCUUAACACAUGCAAGUCGAGCGGGGGAAGGUAGCUUGCUACCGGACCUAGCGGCGGACGGGUGAGUAAUGCUUAGGAAUCUGCCUAUUAGUGGGGGACAACAUCUCGAAAGGGAUGCUAAUACCGCAUACGUCCUACGGGAGAAAGCAGGGGAUCUUCGGACCUUGCGCUAAUAGAUGAGCCUAAGUCGGAUUAGCUAGUUGGUGGGGUAAAGGCCUACCAAGGCGACGAUCUGUAGCGGGUCUGAGAGGAUGAUCCGCCACACUGGGACUGAGACACGGCCCAGACUCCUACGGGAGGCAGCAGUGGGGAAUAUUGGACAAUGGGGGGAACCCUGAUCCAGCCAUGCCGCGUGUGUGAAGAAGGCCUUAUGGUUGUAAAGCACUUUAAGCGAGGAGGAGGCUACUUUAGUUAAUACCUAGAGAUAGUGGACGUUACUCGCAGAAUAAGCACCGGCUAACUCUGUGCCAGCAGCCGCGGUAAUACAGAGGGUGCGAGCGUUAAUCGGAUUUACUGGGCGUAAAGCGUGCGUAGGCGGCUUAUUAAGUCGGAUGUGAAAUCCCCGAGCUUAACUUGGGAAUUGCAUUCGAUACUGGUGAGCUAGAGUAUGGGAGAGGAUGGUAGAAUUCCAGGUGUAGCGGUGAAAUGCGUAGAGAUCUGGAGGAAUACCGAUGGCGAAGGCAGCCAUCUGGCCUAAUACUGACGCUGAGGUACGAAAGCAUGGGGAGCAAACAGGAUUAGAUACCCUGGUAGUCCAUGCCGUAAACGAUGUCUACUAGCCGUUGGGGCCUUUGAGGCUUUAGUGGCGCAGCUAACGCGAUAAGUAGACCGCCUGGGGAGUACGGUCGCAAGACUAAAACUCAAAUGAAUUGACGGGGGCCCGCACAAGCGGUGGAGCAUGUGGUUUAAUUCGAUGCAACGCGAAGAACCUUACCUGGCCUUGACAUACUAGAAACUUUCCAGAGAUGGAUUGGUGCCUUCGGGAAUCUAGAUACAGGUGCUGCAUGGCUGUCGUCAGCUCGUGUCGUGAGAUGUUGGGUUAAGUCCCGCAACGAGCGCAACCCUUUUCCUUACUUGCCAGCAUUUCGGAUGGGAACUUUAAGGAUACUGCCAGUGACAAACUGGAGGAAGGCGGGGACGACGUCAAGUCAUCAUGGCCCUUACGGCCAGGGCUACACACGUGCUACAAUGGUCGGUACAAAGGGUUGCUACACAGCGAUGUGAUGCUAAUCUCAAAAAGCCGAUCGUAGUCCGGAUUGGAGUCUGCAACUCGACUCCAUGAAGUCGGAAUCGCUA
rnacentral:rRNA from 1 species